UCCGUAGGCGGGCUAAUAAGUCAGAGGUGAAAUCCCACAGCUUAACUGUGGCACUGCCUUUGAUACUGUUAGUCUUGAGCCAUAAUGAAGUAGAUGGAAUGUGUAGUGUAGCGGUGAAAUGCAUAGAUAUUACACAGAACACCGAUUGCGAAGGCAGUCUACUAAUUAUGUACUGACGCUAAUAGACGAAAGCGUGGGUAGCGAACAGGAUUAGAUACCCUGGUAGUCC
rnacentral:rRNA from 1 species